CAAUAGCGUAUAUUAACGUUGUUGCAGUUAAAAAGCUCGUAGUUGGAUUUCGGAGUGUUUGGAGUCUUUUACGGUCCGGCGCAAUGCUGUGUUUAUCGUAGCUCCACCUCCUCCUUUCAAAUGCACGCCCCGGUUUCUUAAUUGCGCCGGGAUCCGGGCUUUGGAUCGUUUACUUUGAAAAAAUUUGAGUGUUUAAAGCAGGCGUAAACCUUGCCGCUGUAAACUCUAGCAUGGGAUAAUGGAAUAGGAUUGUUUUGACCUAUUUUGUUGGUUUCUAGUGUCUGCAAUAAUGAUUAAAAGGGAUAGUUGGGGGUAUUAGUAUUUAGUUGUCAGAGGUGAAAUUCUAGGAUCUUCUAAAGACUAACUACUGCGAAAGCAUUUACCUAGGAUGUUUUCAUUAA
rnacentral:rRNA from 1 species